UCCCUGGUGGCUCAGAGGUUAAAGCGUCUGCCUGCAAUGCGGGAGACCUGGGUUCGAUCCCUCGGUAGGGAA
rnacentral:tRNA from 1 species